rnacentral:rRNA from 1 species
UGGGGAAUCUUCCGCAAUGGGCGCAAGCCUGACGGAGCAACGCCGCGUGAAUGAAGAAGGUCUUCGGAUCGUAAAGUUCUGUUCUUAGGGAAGAAGUCUUAGGUUGUGAAUAAUGACUUAAGGUGACGGUACCUAUGGAGAAAGCUCCGGCUAACUACGUGCCAGCAGCCGCGGUAAUACGUAGGGAGCGAGCGUUGUCCGGAAUUACUGGGCGUAAAGGGCGCGUAGGCGGGAACUUAAGUUAGAUGUGAAAACUCUGGGCUUAACCUGGAGACUGCAUUUAAAACCUGGGUUUCUUGAGGGCAGGAGAGGAAAGUGGAAUUCCUAGUGUAGCGGUGAAAUGCGUAGAUAUUAGGAGGAACACCAGUGGCGAAGGCGACUUUCUGGACUGUACCUGACGCUGAGGCGCGAAAGCAUGGGGGAGCGAACAGGAUUAGAUACC